rnacentral:rRNA from 1 species
GGUGAACGCUGGCGGCGUGCCUAAUACAUGCAAGUCGAGCGAACAGACGAGGAGCUUGCUCCUCUGACGUUAGCGGCGGACGGGUGAGUAACACGUGGAUAACCUACCUAUAAGACUGGGAUAACUUCGGGAAACCGGAGCUAAUACCGGAUAAUAUAUUGAACCGCAUGGUUCAAUAGUGAAAGACGGUUUUGCUGUCACUUAUAGAUGGAUCCGCGCCGCAUUAGCUAGUUGGUAAGGUAACGGCUUACCAAGGCAACGAUGCGUAGCCGACCUGAGAGGGUGAUCGGCCACACUGGAACUGAGACACGGUCCAGACUCCUACGGGAGGCAGCAGUAGGGCAUCUUCCGCAAUGGGCGAAAGCCUGACGGAGCAACGCCGCGUGAGUGAUGAAGGUCUUCGGAUCGUAAAACUCUGUUAUUAGGGAAGAACAAAUGUGUAAGUAACUAUGCACGUCUUGACGGUACCUAAUCAGAAAGCCACGGCUAACUACGUG